rnacentral:rRNA from 1 species
CCUACGGGGGGCAGCAGUGGGGAAUAUUGCACAAUGGGGGAAACCCUGAUGCAGCGACGCCGCGUGAGGGAAGACGGUUUUCGGAUUGUAAACUUCUGUUCUUAGGGAAGAAUAAUGACGGUAGCUAAGGAGCAAGCCACGGCUAAUUACGUGCCAGCAGCCGCGGUAAAACGUAUGUGGCAAGCGUUGUCCGGAAUUACUGGGUGUAAAGGGAGCGAAGGCGGGAAGCCAAGUCAGCUGUGAAAACUCCGGGCUUAACUUGGAGACUGCAGUUGAAACUGGUUUUCGUGAGUGCAGUAGAGGUUGGCGGAAUUCCGAGUGUAGCGGUGAAAUGCGUAGAUAUUAGGAGGAACACCAGUGGCGAAGGCGGCCAACUGGGCUUUAACUGACGCUGAGGCUCGAAAGUGUGGGGAGCAAACAGGAUUAGAUACCCCUGUAGUC